GACGAACGCUGGCGGCGUGCCUAAUACAUGCAAGUCGAACGCUGAAACUUGGUGCUUGCACCGAGCGGAUGAGUUGCGAACGGGUGAGUAACGCGUAGGUAACCUGCCUGGUAGCGGGGGAUAACUAUUGGAAACGAUAGCUAAUACCGCAUAAGAGUAGAUGUUGCAUGACAUUUGCUUAAAAGGUGCAAUUGCACCACUACCAGAUGGACCUGCGUUGUAUUAGCUAGUUGGUGGGGUAACGGCUCACCAAGGCGACGAUACAUAGCCGACCUGAGAGGGUGAUCGGCCAACCUGGGACUGAGACACGGCCCAGACUCCUACGGGAGGGAGCAGUAGGGGAUCUUCGGCAAUGGACGGAAGUCUGACCGAGCAACGCCGCGUGAGUGAAGAAGGUUUUCGGAUCGUAAAGCUCUGUUGUAAGGGAAGAACGAGUGUGAGAGUGGAAAGUUCACACUGUGACGGUAUCUUACCAGAAAGGGACGGCUAACUACGUG
rnacentral:rRNA from 1 species